UUCAUCUGCAAACACACAACUCUUACAUUUCAGUCCAAACUAAAGCAAACACAAAAGUUGUCUGAAAUUAAACUUAAUAAACUUAGCGCAACUUCUGUUAUUUAUUAGAUAAAAAGUAAAUAAAACAGAAAAAUGUGGGCCCCUGGAGCCACUUUUGGUGCCCUAACUUUGAACGAAAAAUUAUUUUACUAAUGCAAACUGCAAUCCAAAGUCCUGUACAUCAGCAGGAAUGAACUGAUCCAUUGUAAGUUUAAUACAUCCCAAUAACUCCAAAGAAAUUUACUAUAACUUUACAAUAUUUUAAUAUUCUUUAUUGUUUACUUAUACUAUAAGUUUGAAAAAAUCACAAUACAAGCAUUUCAUAUCAGUCGAUAAUUAUCAAUUAGUUUUGUUUCAAAUAUAUGAGAUAAGUCUUACUAGGCAAUAAAAAAUCUGGCAAUGCAGAUGUAACCCACGUUAAAAUCUGACAUAAAUAGUUGAUUAAAAGUCUGGACAGAAAAUAACGUUGCUGCUCCUUUAAGGAACCGGCGUCACUGACGCGACGCCUGGGUGACGUUGCAGAGCAAAAACCUGAGGGAGAGAGCAGUGAUUAAUUAACGGAAAAAGUUAUUAUAGUUGAGAAAAUAUAAAUUACCUGGUCGGAAACUGACGGGGAUUUUAUGAGAACUAACUUACUUUGGUUUUGGUGAGUUUUGUGUUUAUUUUCUUACAUUUUCACUGUGUUGUACUUUUCCUUUUGGCGGAGAGCUAACGCUAAAAACGUAGCUGUUGCAAAGAAAUGCUCUGUCAUAAACUGUUAUCCGGUUAAUAUAUUGGGUUUAUGAAGAAUUUAUUUGUAUAAUUUGAGGAUUUAAAAAGAGUUUUGUCGUGUUUGUGGCCUGUUACACAAGUCAGGUUUUUUCGUUCGGUUGGAAGCUCGGUCGGAGCGAGGAUUGGUCUUCCAUGUGCGACGUGGACAUUCACAGACGGGAUUCAAGAUGGCGAGCCAGACCUAGACCUUCAAUUCAUCUUCUCCACCGUAUCAAGGAGGGACUCUCCUGCGUGUGGUAAUUCGCUGCCGGAGCGUAGAGGAAAAAAACACUUCAGUCGGGAGGAACCUCUGCAGAAAAUCUGUUUGAAGGUGGAGCCGAAGCCUUUGUGGUAGGAUGAGAUCUUCGAGGCGUCCACCAUGAAGGCCACACAGUGGAUUCUGUCCCUGAG